UACGUAGGGAGCAAGCGUUAUCCGGAUUUACUGGGCGUAAAGCGCACGUAGGCGGAUCGUUAAGUGAGGGGUGAAAUCCCAGGGCUCAACCCUGGAACUGCCUUUCAUACUGGCGAUCUCGAGUCCGGAAGAGGUGAGUGGAACUCCUAGUGUAGAGGUGGAAUUCGUAGAUAUUAGGAAGAACACCAGUGGCGAAGGCGGCUCACUGGUCCGGUACUGACGCUGAGGUGCGAAAGCGUGGGGAGCAAACAGG
rnacentral:rRNA from 1 species